GUCCCUGAAGCGCAACGGAUGCCGCGCUGAAUUUCUAAUCGAAAAAUGGUGGGUUCGAAUCCCACCUGGGAUG